rnacentral:rRNA from 1 species
CCACCGCGGUUAUACGAGUGACGCAAAUUAAUAUUACACGGCGUUAAGGGUGAUUAGAAAUAAUCUCAUCAAAAUAAAGUUAAGACCUCAUUAAGCUGUCAUACGCUCUUAUGACUGAAAACACCAUUCACGAAAGUAACUUUAUACAAACAGAAUUUUUGACCUCACGACAGUUAAGACCCAAACUAGGAUUAGAUACCCUACUAUGCUCAACCAUAAACAUUGUUGCUAAUAAUUUACCUUAAUACCCGCCCGAGUACUACAAGCGCUAGCUUAAAACCCAAAGGACUUGGCGGUGCUCCAAAUCCACCUAGAGGAGCCUGUUCUAUAACCGAUAAUCCGCGUUCAACCUCACCACUUCUUGCUCUUCCACCGCCUAUAUACCGCCGUCGUCAGCUCACCCUGUGAAGGUACAAUAGUAAGCAAAAUGACCUCCCUCCUCAAUACGUCAGGUCGAGGUGUAGCGAAUGAAGUGGGAAGAAAUGGGCUACAUUCUCUCUUUAGAGUACACGAAUAGAAACAUGAAAAUCUUCUUAAAGGCGGAUUUAGUAGUAAGUAAACUUUAGAACAUUAUACUGAAACCGGCUCUGGAGCGCGCACACACCGCCCGUCACUCUCCUCGAAACACAACAUAUAUUUCAUAAAAAGAUUUCCUAACAAGAGGAGGCAAGUCGUAACAUGGUAAGUG